CAUUUGUGUGUUUGUUUGAAGUGAAACAUGAAGUGCCACUAGAAACCCUGCCAGGAAAUUACACAUCUUCAGGAGACAAAGAAUAUGCAAGGUCUCCUGGCCUGCUUAUUGCUGGAAUCAUGGGGAGCGUGAUUGGGUCUGUUUUCAUCAUAUCCGCUACCAUUUGGUUUUGUUUGAACAAGAAAAGAAAGUCAGAGUACACUCCUCCAGGUGAAGCUGAAUCUGAGACAAAAUUAUGAAUUGUCCAAGUCAAAGUUUUAGCAGUAGGAAUAAGGAAUAGGAAUAGUCUCUGUAAA